rnacentral:rRNA from 1 species
UACGAAGGGGGCUAGCGUUGCUCGGAAUCACUGGGCGUAAAGGGUGCGUAGGCGGGUCUUUAAGUCAGGGGUGAAAUCCUGGAGCUCAACUCCAGAACUGCCUUUGAUACUGAGGAUCUUGAGUCCGGGAGAGGUGAGUGGAACUGCGAGUGUAGAGGUGAAAUUCGUAGAGAUCGUGAGGAAGACCCGUGGCGAAGGCGGAUCUCUGGACGGCUAACUGACGCUGAGGCGCGAAGGCCAGGGGAGCAAACGGG